AGUCUUCAGGUUUUUCCAUAUAUAACAUCAUAUCAUCUGCAAACAAGGACAAUCUGACUUCUUCCUUUAUGAACUUUGGAGAAGUUUCCUGUCUGUAAAAAGGAGUCUCCCAUCAGCCUUUGCAGGGAAUUUGUGAGUAUUACAGAUAUUUUGGGCAAAGUUGUGGGUAUAUAGGAAAGUAUUAAGUUUAUCAUGUUUAUUAAUAAUUUAUGGUAUUAUUUACAUUAUAUUCAGACAUAUAUGUUUUAAAAAUCAAGUUGAUCAAAUGUUUGUUGACAUGUUUUUACUUUCUUGGUGCUCUUUAUUCUAUUUUUCAUGAAAGCCUAUUUUUUUUCACAUGUUAAGUUUGACCCCCUCAUCAUUUUACUAGCCAAUGUUUCCUCAUGUUUUUCUCUGUAUUUUAAUUGAUUUUUAUCUGUUACAUCCUUCUCAAUGCAAAAGCCAUUCCCUUCCUUGUAAUAAAAUUCAACCUAUUGUUGGGUUUUAUUACUUAACACUUUUUCUGCUAACUACAAUCCAAUUAAUAUCUUCCAUCUCUACUAGAUAUCCUUUACCUUAUUUAUGUCCUUUUGCUCUUUGUAAAGCUUUUAGUGGAAAAACUAAAUAUGUAUAUAAUAAUAUAAUGAACUUCCAUAUACCUAUUGCCUAUUUUCAAAAUUGUUAGCACAUUGCUAAUAUUAUUUACUAAUAAAACACAUCAGAAUCUACUGGAACGUAAGUGACCUCAACAUAAUUAUAGGAUACAAGAUAAAUAUUUAAAAAAUCAAUUAUAUGUCUAUAUACUAACUAUGAACAAUUGAAAGGAAUAAUACCAUUUACAAUAGCAUGUUAAUCAAAAUAUUUGCAAGUUCUGCACUCUUGAUACAAAAAAGUUUUUCAUAUUAAAGAAAACCUAAAUGGGAAAAACAAGACUUUCUUUAUAAUUUGGAAGACUCAAUAUUGUUAAGAUGUCAAUUCUACCCAAGUUGAUCAAUAUAUCCAAAAAUCCUAAUUGCUUUUUGUAGAAAUCGAUAUGCUGAUUAUAAAAUGCCUAUGGAAAUACACGCGACCUAAUAACCAAAAUACCAAAUACCUAAAAAUCAAACUUUGAAAAAGAAAAACAAUGUUUUGUAGUUAAAACACUAGUCUAUAAGUCCUAGAAACAAGAACUUAUAAUACUUGGUUUCUAAUGUUGCUAUAAAGCUAUUUUAAUCAAAACAGUGAUAUUGGCAUAAUAAUCAUAGGUUAGUAGAAAAUAAUAAAAUCCAGAAAUAGACCUGCAUGCAUAAGGUAAAUUGAUUUUUGACAAAAUUUCCAAGGCAGUUCCAUAGGGAAAUUAAAGUCUUUCAACAAAUAUUGCUGGAAAAAAAGUAUUCAUCCAUACAUAUGAUGGAAAAAAAUAAAUUUAAAAAUACGUACCUGAGAAUAUAUGCAAACUUUAACCCCAACUGGGUAGUAAUAGCCCUUUUAAUAAGAAUAUUAUAAAUAAUUGAGCUAAAAAGGGGAAAUUCCAUGACUUUGGGUUAGGCAAAGAUUUCUUAGUAUAAAAAAGCAUAAUCACUAAAAGAAAACUAUUGAUAAACUCAAUAUCAUAACAAUUAAAAUAUUUUGCUCCUCAAAAGAUUCUGUUUAAAAGUGAAGAGUUUAAUCUGAUAGAGUACUCUAUAUGCAAAAAACCUAAAACUAAUAACUCAUUAGUAAGAAAAAAGUUAAAAAUGGACAAAAUCAAAAAAAAUAAAUAGAAAAUAAGUAUGUGGAAAAAUGUUCAAUAUCAUCAGUCAUCAGGGAAAUGAAAAUGAAAACAAAGGUAAUGCAAAUUACCAUACUAUAAUACCAUAUAUACCCACAAUCACUGUCUACAAUGUGAAAGUACCUGGCAAUAAAAUUGUUGGCGAAGAUGUAUGCACAAUAAGCAUACAAUGCAUGUGUCUAUUUGAAUAUUCUAAUUAUUUCAGUAUUCUAAUUAUAUAACUGUUUUAAGGACUUGGCAAAUUUCAAGAAAAUUCAGAGAAACAAGGAAAUAAGGAAGGCAAUAGGUGAACAAAAUAAGAAAAUUAACAAGGAAAUGGAAAUAAUUUUAAAUAUCAAACAAAUUCUGGGGCUAAAGAAUAUAAAGAAUGAAAUAAAAAACUCAGUGGGAGCAUUAACAACCAAAUUGAUCAAGAAAAGAAUCUGAACUAAGGAAUAGGUUAUUUGAAAAUAAUCAGAGGAGAAAAAAAUGAAUGAAGAAAGCUUACAGGAUUUAUGGGACAGUAUCAAAAGAGCAAAUUUUCAAGUCACAGGUGUUAAAGGGGUAAAAAGCUUAUUUGAGGAAAUAGUAGAAACUUUCCAAACCUGGAGAAGCAUAUAAAUAUCCAUGUAAAGGAAGAUCUAAGGUCUAAUCAGAUCCAAUUCAAAUGGGACCAUAUCGAUAUAUAUUAUAAUCAAAUAGUUAAAAUUAGGAGAAAAUAACAUACAAGGAGGUACUAAUAUGACUAGCAACAGAUUGCUCAGCAGAAAAGGCUAUGAGAAAAUAGGGUGAUAUCUAGUAGUUAAAAUGUUGAAGAAAGUAAACUUGCAACCAAGAAUAUCAUACCCAGCAAAGCUGUUCUUCAGAAACAAAGAAGAGGUAAAGAUUUUCCCAAGCAAAAAGCAAAGGAAUUUAAUCACCACAAGACCUGUCUUGCUAAAUGCUAAAUGGAGUUCUUCAAGCUGAAAGAAAAAGAUUCAAAGUAUAACACUCACUGGUAAGUACACUAUCAAAUUAUAAUACUCUUGUACUGUAAGGGUGGUGUGUAAAUCAUUUAUAUCUUUAGUAUAAAUAUUAAAAGACAAAACUAAUAGCUACAAUAAUUUCUUGAGAUAUUCAAUGUAAAAAUAUGGAAAUCGAGACACUGAAAAUUCAAAAUGUUCAGAGAGGAGCGAAGUAAAAGUAUAAAGUCUCUUCUUUGGUAUUAAAAUUUUUAUCAGAUUAAAAUAACCUGCUAUAACUGUAAAAAAUUUUUGUAAGCUUCAUAGUAACCACAAAGUGAAAAAUCUAUUAGUAGAUACACAGAAAAAAAAAGUAAUGAAUCAAAGAAUAGCACUAGAGAAAAUUACUUAACCACAAAAGACAAUAAGAGAAGAAAUGGAAAACAAGAGCAAACUAAGCACAAAGUUCAUAGGAAGAAGGAAAUAAUAAAGGUGAGAAAAGAAAAAAAUAAACACUAGAAAGUUAAUAUAAUAAAUCAAUAAAACUAACAGUUUUU